AUUGCUUUUGAGAUUCUUGGAUGUUCUUAUAUUGGACUUUACUAGAAACAAGCGAUAGAAGACCAGAGACUCCUGGGAGCGCUUGACCGCAUGGGAGUGGCCAGAUCGAGGACGGAGGGCGUGGUCAGCGCUACAGACAGACAGAACCGAGUUGCCUAUGACGUCCAUCUUUUAACCCAAGCUCACCACACUGCCUGUUGCUGUAACCUGUUUCACCGUUGUGCCUGAUAUGCAGGUACCUUUCAGGGGAUCAUGCCCACAUGCUAAUAAG